GCUUGCUGUACAGACCUCUACCACGCCAGCUGGCUAGGUUGCUCUGUGAGGAAACUUGGGUUAUUACAGCUGUCAAGGCUGAGGCUCUGGCCCCAAUGACUCCAGGAACAACACUACUGAAAAACCAAAUCUCCUUCCUGCUAAACAAAAUAAACACCACUGAGGUCAUUUUCUUUUUUCCCACUGAGUCUAAUGCAAUCAAGUCAAGAGGGUGUGAGCUUGGAAGAUGAAGGCUGACAGCUGAAGGCUGAAGGAUUCUGUCAAGACAACGACCAUGAUACCGGCUCACCAAAAAAACGAGAUCUUCUGGAUUCCCCUCAAGGAGCUCACAUAUGCCUUCAAACAGAAAUGUCACCCAGACAUGUGAAAAUGUCCUUGCUCUGUUCGGUUGUUUUCCAAGACUCCCCAUGUGACUCGUCUCUUUCCUAAUGCGUGCUAAGUACCUGAUACUUUCCUAUGCAGGAAGCUUAUAUGAACUAAUUAACAUUUAAUGAGAGGAAACCAACUGAUUAGAAUGCUUUUCGUGGUACUUUAGCUAAUAAAUGUUGUAUACACUUUGGACUGCA